GACAGAGGGUGCAAACGUUGUUCGGAAUUACUGGGCGUAAAGCGAGUGUAGGCGGUCUGUAAAGUCGGGUGUGAAAGCCCCGGGCUCAACCCGGGAAGUGCACUCGAAACUCACAGGCUAGAGUAUCGGAGAGGUUGGUGGAAUUCUCGGUGUAGAGGUGAAGUUCGUAGAUAUCGGGAGGAACACCAGUGGCGAAGGCGGCGACCUGGACCGAUACUGACGCUGAGGGACGAAAGCUAGGGGAGCGAAAGGG
rnacentral:rRNA from 1 species